GACUCUCAGCAAUAGAUAUCUCAGCUCUUGGAUCGAUGAAGAAUGUAGCGAAAUGCGAUACUUGGUGUGAAUUGCAGAAUCCAAUGAACCAUCGAGUCUCUGAAGGCAAGUUGUGCCUAAAGAAAUUAGGCUGAGGGCAUGUCUGCCUAGGCAUCA